rnacentral:lncRNA from 1 species
UCUGUUUUUACUGGUUUGUGCAGACCCCACUCCGUGUUGCUUCGUCAGCUUCGUGGGGUCUCCCUGCUGCCUGCUUUGUAAAAGGAAAUGGUUUCUGCCUCCAAUUCUCCUCAGCCGGAGUUCACAUUCUGUCUUAUUUUACAGGACAAGGUUCUUUAACUUUGUCAGGCACCUUUCCAAGCUCUCUUAUUUAUCAAGGUGAUGGCAUCUGUAGGCCGCGACUUCUAGGCUUUGCCCACAGUUGAAGUCGGCACAGCUGUGGUAACACUGUGAUGACAUAGGCAUAGCCACAUGGGUCCAUUGAAGGAAAUGUGCUUCCAGGACAUUAGACCCGGACCACGAAAGAAGGAAGACGGGAGCUCUGGGGUCCAAGAGAGUCUCCUUCUGGCUGUCCUAGGACAAAAUCACAGCAUUUUCGGUUCCAAGUUUAUCUUCCAUUGUAGAGAGUCUUGCAGCGCUAACCGUUCCACCAAAUGGAAUGAGUAUUCCGAUGGCCUGAGAAGAAGAGUUGGCUUUAUAAACAGAGAGAGGCCGAAGAAGGCAGAAACAAAGGCUGGAAAGCAGACUGGCCCUCUCCAAGCUACUUUCCUCGUAAGGCGGGCACAGGGCUCCAGAACAAUAGGCCCUGCACUGCCCGCCUCUCCCACGGCAGCCUGGCUUCCCUGUGGGGAGGCGCCCCGACCCCACUCGGCUGCGCGCCCAGGGCUGUUUUACACUGCGCUUGGCUCCUGGGAAGCUGCAUGGCGUCUCCCGAGCUGUUGAAGGAAGGAGUCACCCGCAGUCUCGGAACCCUCAGGGCCAACUUGGGAAGGACCAUACACCAUGAUCCUGUCAACCCCCUCAGCUGUCAAGGUAGCAGGCCUGGACUCCUGGGCACACCAUACUUGACUCAAGCCCUGAGAACCAGAGACUGUUGCUGAAUGUGAGCAACCACCUGAAUACUCCUGUGAACCCACAGGAGACUUACAGUUCUUUUUCAAGAGGAAAACAAAGUCUUCAGAUAAGUAGUCUAAGAUGUUACCCUAGCCUUGUA